rnacentral:rRNA from 1 species
UACCCUUUGGAAAAGAAUAGCCUCGGGAAACUGGGAGUAAUGCCUUAUAAGAUACGUUCGUCGCAUGGCAUUUGUAUUAAACGCUCCGGCGCCAUAGGAUGGACCCGCGUCCCAUUAGCUAGUUGGUGAGAUAACAGCUCACCAAGGCCACGAUGGGUAACCGGUCUGAGAGGGCGAACGGUCACACUGGAACUGAGACACGGUCCAGACUCCUACGGGAGGCAGCAGUGGGGAAUAUUGCGCAAUGGGGGCAACCCUGACGCAGCAAUACCGCGUGAGUGAAGAAGGUUUUCGGAUCGUAAAGCUCUGUUACUGGGGAAGAAAAAAAGACGGUACCCAAGAAGAAAGUUCCGGCUAACUACGUGCCAGCAGCCGCGGUAAUACGUAGGGAACAAGCGUUGUCCGGAUUUACUGGGCGUAAAGGGCACGCAGGCGGUUUUUUAAGUCAGAUGUGAAAGGCCACAGCUCAACUGUGGACAUGCAUUUGAAACUGAAAGACUUGAGUAUUGGAGAGGCAAGUGGAAUUCCUAGUGUAGCGGUGAAAUGCGUAGAUAUUAGGAGGAACACCGGUGGCGGAGGCGGCUUGCUGGACAAAUACUGACGCUGAG